UAGAAAAUGAUUAUGGUUGUCCUAUUGGUACGGAGGGUACUUGGUUCUAUGAUGCCGAUGGAGCAUACACUAUUGUUACAUUGUCGUAUUAUGUGAAGUCUUGCUUGAGAAUGCACCGAGCACAUGGCUGUAGAAGGUAAAAAAAAAUUACAACAAAAGAUCAUAACAAUCUAAUUGGAUUAUAGAGAAUUUAUAAUUAAAUAUUAACAUUUAUAAUCAAAUAUUAAGCAAGCUCAAAUAAAUUUUAUUGAAGUUAUAAAAGAAACACAAGGAAAUCCUAAAGAAAUAUAAAAGAAUAUUAAAGAAAACUUAAUCAAAUCCUAACAAAAAUCUAAUAGAACCUUAAAUUCUAACCAAAUCCUAAUCCUAAUAGAACUUUAAAUUCUAACCAAACCCUAAUCCUAAUCCAACCUUAAUCAAAUUCUAGACAAACCCUAAUCCUAAUCCAAUCUUAAUCAAACCCUAGACAAACCCUAAAUCCUAAAUCAAACCCUAAUAAAAUCUUAAUCAAAUCCUAAAUCUUAAACCAAUCUCUAACCAAAUCCUAAACCAAAUCCUAAAUCCUAAUUCAAACCUUAAUCCAAAUCUUAAAUCCUAAAUCAAAUCCUAAAUCAUACCUAUGAUUAUCGUUUUACUUAUUCUACAAUUCCUUCUAAAAUAAACCUAUAUAGGAGAAUUCGAACACAGGGAAAGACUAAGUGCAUGAAUUUCACUUGUUAGGAUCAUACAAUUAAUUGUAUUCCGAACCACUAAAAUACUAAGAAACACUAUAAUGAUUCCUUCCAUUAACAAUACUCCUUCAUCAACUGAUAACCACAAUGUGCAACCCUGCACUCUCAAAAGACCACUCAAAACUCAAUAAAUUCCAUCCAACACCAAGAAUAACAGACUUCAUUCUAACCAAUCUGAAUUCACAAAAUUCCUAUAAUUAUAUACUUCCUUUGUCGAAACACACACACACAACUCUCAAUAAACAACAAUCAUAAUCUUCCAUCCAUAAUCAAGCUUCCAAUAACUUCUCAUAUAAUUCAAUCACUCAGUAUUCCAAUUACAUGAUCAAUAACUCAUAAGUUAAUCUCUGAUUUAUUCCACAGACUCACUUCUCAGUAUUCAAAAACUAUCCAAUACUCUUCAACAACAAAGAAAUCAAAAAAAAUAUAGAAGAAGCACCAACCUUAACCCCGACUCAUGACUAUUUUACUUUGGUCCCCCAAAAAACUUCUACAACUCCUGUAUAAUUGCUACUCAUUUCCAAAUUCUAAUUGUAAUCCUAUAAUAACCGCUUUUAAUAACUGAAUCAAUCAUCCGUCCUCUUGAACUAACUAUUCUAUGGACUAUCAAUCUAUUUUAUCAAUAUCUUAUAAAAAUAAACUAAUAUCUAUUCUACAUAGCCCUACUCCUAUCUGU
rnacentral:lncRNA from 1 species